rnacentral:tRNA from 1 species
GGUUCUGUGGUGUAAUGGUUAGCACUUUGGACUUUGAAUUCAAGGAUCCGAGUUCAAAUCUCGGCAGGACCU